UCCUCCGUAGCUCAAUGGCAGAGCAUUCGGCUGUUAACCGAAGGGUUACUGGUUCGAGUCCAGUCGGAGGAGCCA
rnacentral:tRNA from 1 species